rnacentral:hammerhead_ribozyme from 1 species
AUUCAGCUGAUGAGUCCCAACGGGGACGAAACGCGCGUCCUGAAU